AGCCUGAUCCAGCCAUACCGCGUGGGUGAAGAAGGCCUUCGGGUUGUAAAGCCCUUUUGUUGGGAAAGAAAUCCAGCUGGCUAAUACCCGGUUGGGAUGACGGUACCCAAAGAAUAAGCACCGGCUAACUUCGUGCCAGCAGCCGCGGUAAUACGAAGGGUGCAAGCGUUACUCGGAAUUACUGGGCGUAAAGCGUGCGUAGGUGGUCGUUUAAGUCCGUUGUGAAAGCCCUGGGCUCAACCUGGGAACUGCAGUGGAUACUGGGCGACUAGAGUGUGGUAGAGGGUAGCGGAAUUCCUGGUGUAGCAGUGAAAUGCGUAGAGAUCAGGAGGAACAUCCAUGGCGAAGGCAGCUACCUGGACCAACACUGACACUGAGGCACGAAAGCGUGGGGAGCAAACAGGAUUAGAUACCCUGGUAGUCCACGCCCUAAACGAUGCGAACUGGAUGUUGGGUGCAAUUUGGCACGCAGUAUCGAACUAACGCGUUAAGUUCGCCGCCUGGGGAGUACGGUCGCAAGACUGAAACUC
rnacentral:rRNA from 1 species